AAUACCGCAUGAUACUAUUGAGCGGCAUCGCUUUGAUAGUCAAAGAUUUAUUGCUGAAAGAUGGCCUUCGCGUAUGAUUAGCUAGUUGGUGGGGUAACGGCCCACCAAGGCGACGAUCAGUAGCCGGACUGAGAGGUUGACCGGCCACAUUGGGACUGAGAUACGGCCCAGACUCCUACGGGAGGCAGCAGUGGGGAAUAUUGGGCAAUGGGCGAAAGCCUGACCCAGCAACGCCGCGUGAAGGAAGAAGGCCUUCGGGUUGUAAACUUCUUUUACCAGGGACGAAAUAAAUGACGGUACCUGGAGAAAAAGCAACGGCUAACUACGUGCCAGCAGCCGCGGUAAUACGUAGGUUGCAAGCGUUGUCCGGAAUUACUGGGUGUAAAGGGCGUGUAGGCGGAGCUGCAAGUCAGAUGUGAAAUCCCGGGGCUCAACCCCGGAACUGCAUUUGAAACUGUAGCCCUUGAGUAUCGGAGAGGCAAGCGGAAUUCCUAGUGUAGCGGUGAAAUGCGUAGAUAUUAGGAGGAACACCAGUGGCGAAGGCGGCUUGCUGGACGACAACUGACGCUGAGGCGCGAAAGCGUGGGGAGCAAACAGGAUUAGAUACCCUGGUAGUCCACGCUGUAAACGAUGAAUACUAGGUGUGGGAGGACUGACCCCUUGGGGGCCGCAGUUAACGCAAUAAGUAUUGGCAAGCGGGGGAGGUAGGACCGCAAGGUUGAAAAUCAGAGGAAUUAACGGGGGGCCCGCACAAACAAUGGAUUAUGUGGUUUAAUUAGACGCAACGGGAAGAACCUUGCCAGGGUUGGGCAUCCAACUAACGAAGUAGAGGUACAUUAGGUGCCCUUCGGGGAAAGUUGAGACAGGUGGUGCAUGGUUGUCGUCAGCUCGUGUCGUGAGAUGUUGGGUUAAGUCCCGCAACGAGCGCAACCCCUAUUGUUAGUUGCUACGCAAGAGCACUCUAGCGAGACUGCCGUUGACAAAACGGAGGAAGGCGGGGACGACGUCAAAUCAUCAUGCCCCUUAUGUCCUGGGCUACACACGUAAUACAAUGGCCGUCAACAAAGGGAAGCGAAACCGCGAGGUGGAGCAAACCCCCAAAAACGGUCUCAGUUCGGAAAGCAGGCUGCAACUCGCCUGCAUGAAGCUGGAAUUGCUAGUAAUCGUGGAUCAGCAUGCCACGG
rnacentral:rRNA from 1 species